UACGUAGGGUGCGAGCGUUGUCCGGAAUUACUGGGCGUAAAGAGCUCGUAGGUGGUUUGUCGCGUUGUUCGUGAAAACCGGGGGCUUAACCCUGGGCGUGCGGGCGAUACGGGCAGACUUGAGUACUGCAGGGGAGACUGGAAUUCCUGGUGUAGCGGUGGAAUGCGCAGAUAUCAGGAGGAACACCGGUGGCGAAGGCGGCUCACUGGACCGGUUCUGACGCUGAGGCACGAAGGCCAGGGGAGCGAACGGG
rnacentral:rRNA from 1 species